UACAUGGGGUGCAAACGUUGCUCGGAAUCAUUGGGCGUAAAGCGCGCGUAGGCGGUUAUUUAGGUUGGAUGUGAAAGCCCUCGGCUUAACUGAGGAAGUGCAUCCAAAACUGAAUAGCUAGAGUACGAAAGAGGGUCGCGGAAUUCCCGGUGUAGAGGUGAAAUUCGUAGAUAUCGGGAGGAACACCGGUGGCGAAGGCGGCGACCUGGGUCGAGACUGACGCUGAGGCGCGAAAGCGUGGGGAGCAAACAGG
rnacentral:rRNA from 1 species